rnacentral:rRNA from 1 species
UACGUAGGGCGCAAGCGUUGUCCGGAAUCAUUGGGCGUAAAGAGCUCGUAGGUGGUCUGUUACGUCCGCUGUGAAAACCUAGGGCUUAACCCUGGGCCUGCAGUGGAUACGGGCAGACUAGAGGUAGGUAGGGGAGAAUGGAAUUCCCGGUGUAGCGGUGAAAUGCGCAGAUAUCGGGAGGAACACCGGUGGCGAAGGCGGUUCUCUGGGCCUUACCUGACACUGAGGAGCGAAAGCGUGGGGAGCAAACAGG